rnacentral:piRNA from 1 species
AGUAUCCACAUAAUUAGUUGA